GGCAGCGAAGCAGCGUGGCCGAGUGGUUUAGGGUGCUGGUCUUGUAAUCCGGAGGUCCUAGGUUCAAGCCCUCCAUCCUGCCU